CUUCGGGGUGUGACUGCGUACCUUUUGUAUAAUGGGUCAGCGACUUAUAUUCUGUAGCAAGGUUAACCGAAUAGGGGAGCCGGAGGGAAACCGAGUCUUAAUUGGGCGUUAAGUUGCAGGGUAUAGACCCGAAACCCGGUGAUCUAGCCAUGGGCAGGUUGAAGGUUGGGUAACACUAACUGGAGGACCGAACCGACUAAUGUUGAAAAAUUAGCGGAUGACCUGUGGCUGGGGGUGAAAGGCCAAUCAAACCGGGAGAUAGCUGGUUCUCCCCGAAAGCUAUUUAGGUAGCGCCUCGUGAAUUCAUCUCCGGGGGUAGAGCACUGUUUCGGCUAGGGGGCCAUCCCGGCUUACCAACCCGAUGCAAACUGCGAAUACCGGAGAAUGUUAUCACGGGAGACACACGGCGGGUGCUAACGUCCGUCGUGAAGAGGGAAACAACCCAGACCGCCAGCUAAGGUCCCAAAGUCAUGGUUAAGUGGGAAACGAUGUGGGAAGGCCCAGACAGCCAGGAUGUUGGCUUAGAAGCAGCCAUCAUUUAAAGAAAGCGUAAUAGCUCACUGGUCGAGUCGGCCUGCGCGGAAGAUGUAACGGGGCUAAACCAUGCACCGAAGCUGCGGCAGCGACACUGUGUGUUGUUGGGUAGGGGAGCGUUCUGUAAGCCUGCGAAGGUGGCCUGUGAGGGUUGCUGGAGGUAUCAGAAGUGCGAAUGCUGACAUAAGUAACGAUAAAGCGGGUGAAAAGCCCGCUCGCCGGAAGACCAAGGGUUCCUGUCCAAC
rnacentral:rRNA from 1 species